ACCAGGCCCGGACACUGGAAGGAUUGACAGAUUGAGAGCUCUUUCUUGAUUCGGUGGGUGGUGGUGCAUGGCCGUUCUUAGUUGGUGGAGCGAUUUGUCUGGUUAAUUCCGAUAACGAACGAGACUCUAGCCUGCUAAAUAGAUGGCGUAUCUCCGGGUACGUCACUCUUCUUAGAGGGACAAGUGGCGUCUAGCCAUAUGAAAGUGAGCAAUAACAGGUCUGUGAUGCCCUUAGAUGUCCUGGGCCGCACGCGCGCUACACUGAAAGAAUCAGCGCGUCCUCCCUGUCCGAGAGGACCGGGUAACCGCUG
rnacentral:rRNA from 1 species